rfam:Gossypium hirsutum cultivar TM-1 chromosome 20, whole genome shotgun sequence
AUUUCGUGAUAAGGGCACUUCCGUAAUAAUUCUUUGUACCUUUCCCAUUCCUCAUACAAUGACUCAUUAUCCAUUUGCUAGAAAGCAGUGAUCUCGUUCCUCAACUU